GACGAACGCUGGCGGCGUGCUUAACACAUGCAAGUCGAACGGAAAGGCCCUGCUUUUGUGGGGUGCUCGAGUGGCGAACGGGUGAGUAACAUGUGAGUAACCUGCCCUUGACUUUGGGAUAACUUCAGGAAACUGGGGCUAAUACCGGAUAGGAGCUCCUGCUGCAUGGUGGGGGUUGGAAAGUUUCGGCGGUAGGGGAUAGACUCGCGGGUUAUCAGCUUGUUGGUGGGGUAGUGGCUUACCAAGGCUUUGACGGAUAGCCGGCAUGGGAGGGUGACCAGCCACCAGAGGACUAAGAUACGGCCCAGACUCCUACGGGAGGCAGCAGUGGGGAAUAUUGCACAGUGGGCGGAAGCCUGAUGCAGCAACGCCGCGUGCGGGAUGACGGCCUUCGGGUUGUAAACCGCUUUCGCCUGUGACGAAGCGUGAUUGACGGUAAUGGGUAAAGAAGCACCGGCUAACUACGUG
rnacentral:rRNA from 1 species